GAUGAACGCUAGCGGCAGGCUUAAUACAUGCAAGUCGUGGGGCAGCAGGGUUGUAGCAAUACAAUCGCUGGCGACCGGCAAACGGGUGCGUAACACGUACGCAACCUUCCCGUUACUGUGGCAUAGCCCAGGGAAACUUGGAUUAAUACCACAUAUUAUAUUGAGGGGGCAUCCCUUUGAUAUCAAAGCUUCGGCGGUAACGGAUGGGCGUGCGGUUGAUUAGGUAGUUGGCGGGGUAACGGCCCACCAAGCCUACGAUCAAUAGCUGAUGUGAGAGCAUGAUCAGCCACACGGGCACUGAGACACGGGCCCGACUCCUACGGGAGGCAGCAGUAAGGAAUAUUGGGCAAUGGACGAAAGUCUGACCCAGCCAUGCCGCGUGAAGGAUUAAGGUCCUCUGGAUUGUAAACUUCUUUUCUCUGGGGCGAAAACCAGCUAUUCUUAGCUAUUUGACAGUACCAGAGGAAUAAGCACCGGCUAACUCCGUGCCAGCCGCCGCCGUAAGAC
rnacentral:rRNA from 1 species